rnacentral:rRNA from 1 species
GACGAACGCUGGCGGCAGGCCUAACACAUGCAAGUCGAGCGGAUGAGAAAAGCUUGCUUUUCGAUUCAGCGGCGGACGGGUGAGUAAUGCCUAGGAAUCUGCCUGUUAGUGGGGGAUAACUCGGGGAAACUCGGGCUAAUACCGCAUACGUCCUACGGGAGAAAGUGGGGGAUCUUCGGACCUCACGCUAACAGAUGAGCCUAGGUCGGAUUAGCUAGUAGGUGAGGUAAUGGCUCACCUAGGCGACGAUCCGUAACUGGUCUGAGAGGAUGAUCAGUCACACUGGAACUGAGACACGGUCCAGACUCCUACGGGAGGCAGCAGUGGGGAAUAUUGGACAAUGGGCGAAAGCCUGAUCCAGCCAUGCCGCGUGUGUGAAGGAGGUCUUCGGAUUGUAAAGCACUUUAAGUUGGGAGGAAGGGUAUUCACCUAAUACGUGGGUACUUUGACGUUACCAACAGAAUAAGCACCGGCUAACUCUGUGCCAGCCGCCGCAGUAACAC